rnacentral:lncRNA from 1 species
AUGCUCAACUCUCCGGGGACACGGAGACCAGUGAAAGAAGCGCAAAAGUACGGUGAGGACUCUCAGAAAUCGCAUUCCCCCGGGACACCCGGCCCACGCUCGUCGGUCACUACGCUAUCAGCCUCCGCGCUCUCGGACUCCAGCAGCCCCGACACGCCGCCCAGGAGAGGGCCGGGCAGGCCGAGCACCCCGGCCCGCGCUCCCGCCACCAGCGCACCCAUGAUGUACUCACGGAGAGGGGUACGCAGAACCGCCCGUCCCGCCGGAGCCGACACCCGGAGCAGUGCAAAUCAACUCCCCCAGCCUAGCGGCGCGUGCGCGAAUGCGGACAGCGCGCCGCCUGCUGACGUCAGCGCCUGCCUACGCCGCCGUUCCCAUGGCGACCGAUGCGUCCCGCGCUCUAGGCGAAGACCGCGGCCCCGUCCCCGCGCCUCCACCGCCUUCUUCCAGGAGGAGGGGCCGUGCGGCGCCUGCCCGGGGGCCCUCAGGCCGCAGGCGGGCGCGAGCUUCAGGGAACUUAGGGGGCUCCCGCCUCCCCGGCCACGCGAGCGGGAACAGUCUCCUCCACUCGGAGCGGCGCCAUCUUCAGCUCUGAGUCACCAGGGCUGGAAAAAUACUAGAUGCGCUACUCGUGGACUCGUGAAUACACUCGUGAAUACAGGCCAUUUCCUGUACCUACAGCCACCCGCUCCACUCAUCAUGCCUUACCUGGAUGAUGCAGAAGUCCCUGGAAACAGAAGGUCUCACCCUUCUUUAUCUUUCUCAUGGCUUUCCAAGGCUCUUUAUCAUGUUACUUUCCUGCUCAGAAUUCUUUAAUGACUUGCCUCAAUGACCAGAUACAUGUGAUCUACAGUCAGCCUUCCAGCCUCAUCAUUCCUCUUCCAUUU